AAAAUUUUAUAUUUAAAUUAUUAUAUAAAAAUGUAACUCGAGAUAAAAAACUUN
rnacentral:misc_RNA from 1 species